CUGGAAAUAAACAACCACACAUUUCCCGCAAAACAUGUAAUUUGCCAAAAUACCUCUGUUACAGUUUACGAAGAAUUUUUCUGUCAAGUUCACGUUUCUGAAAUGAUAACCGCUGCAAGAAGUAUAUAAAUAUUGCAAAAAAAGCCAAAAACAAUGUGUUUCGACUAGAUAAUUUGAGUUUUUAACCGUUUGAGCCGCCAUUUUGAAUUUGAGUCGCCAUUUUGAAUUUGG
rnacentral:lncRNA from 1 species